UAGUCCUAUUAGAGGGUCCAAUACAAUUGGAGGAAUGAGAGGAUCCAGAUGGUUGAAAGGGUCUAUAGAUAGUCUAAGAGGGCUAGGUAGCUCUAGCAACUAAAUGGGCUCUAAGUAAAUCAAGACGCACUAUCAACCUCCCCAUGAACUGCAGAAGAGAGGCAAUCCCGAUGGUGACAUCGUUGCUCAUGCCUCUCAUCUCCUGCC
rnacentral:lncRNA from 1 species